GCCUUGGGGUCUCUCGGGGUUCACGGGACUCCUGGGGAACCUGGGGCACGUCUAAGGAAAGUGGACUGACUCCGAUAGGAAAGUGGACCGACUCCGAUAGGAAAGUGGGUUUGGGAAGGUUUGCUAAAGGGCUCUCUAAGGGAAAAUGGGGUUUGGAAAGUCUCCUUAGGAAAACGUUCUAGGAAAGUGGACACACUCCGAGGAGGACUCCUUAUUCCCACCCACAAUUUAAUAGUGCCACAGCAAUCUCCCUGCCUCUUGCUCUCUAGACUCAGGUCCUACUGAACGCUUGCCUACGCAAUGCCAGAUCGGACCUGAGGAAAUGCAAAGUAGGAAGAGGGAACGGGCGCACUUGCAAUCUCUGGUCAUGGGUCAUACCUAACAAAAGGUCGCCAUGGCAGAGGGGCGUCUUCACCCGGGAUAGCUAAGCGAGAGAAGGGAGAGUUGCCAAGGCUCGCUAUCUGGGCAAAACUCCGACGGACAACAAGCCUUGGGGAGGAAAAGGGCAGCCGCAAAACCUUCCAGCCUGGGCAGACUCCGACGGGCUUUGGGUUUUUUGGCUAUGAAAAAUAGGAAAGAGUUUGAUUGCUGUGACAAUUCCCACCCCGAAAAGCCAAUUUCCCUAUUGAUACUCACGUCGCAGCGCGCUGCCUUCUUUUCCUGAAGCUUGGUCACCUCGCAACAAUCAGGAGAAGAAAAAUCUUGUAAAAUCAACCCCCACGGCCGUCUGGAUCCUGUUUGUUUUCCCUGUGUGGUCCCGCUAAGGAUCCCAGUUAGGCCAGAACUCCAGGGACAGUCGGGGAAGGGGAUCCCCCCUGCAAAUGGCUGGGUGCGCUUGGGCUCCCCAACCACGGCGCCCCAAGAGUACGGCUAAACGGAGUCUCCUGCCCUGGCUCGCCAUAUUGUUAUGAAAAAUGUACCCCAAAAUGCGUUGCCUUUUAAGAAGGACAGACGCGGGUCGGAAGCUCCAAAAUUUGCACUAAGUUCAGCUCCGCCGGGAAAAUGACAGAGACCACACGAUGCUGUCAGGAAAAACAAACUGAUCCCUUUAUUGCAGAAUGCAAAGCUACAGCUGUAGGGUCCCUGCCUCUGGAAAGAAGGAAGGAACCCCGGGAAAUGGUGGGCAAUCCUUCGAGAUGGGCGCAGGAGUGGAGCGAUUUCCUGACGAUUUCCAUGAGGUGAUUUUCAUCCGGCAGGUGUUUUCCUUGAGGCCGCGGAAAGAUGGACUAUGGCAUGUUUAAUUUGAAUAAAGUUGUCAAGCUAA